rnacentral:rRNA from 1 species
GUCCACGGCCACACCACCCUGAACACGCCCGACCUCAUCCGAUCUCGGAAGCUAAGCAGGGUCGGGCCCGGUUAGUGCCAGGAUGGGAGGAGGGGCGGAGGAGG